UGACGAGUGGCGGACGGGUGAGUAAUGUCUGGGAAACUGCCCGAUGGAGGGGGAUAACUACUGGAAACGGUAGCUAAUACCGCAUAACGUCGCAAGACCAAAGAGGGGGACCUUAGGGCCUCUUGCCAUCGGAUGUGCCCAGAUGGGAUUAGCUAGUAGGUGGGGUAACGGCUCACCUAGGCGACGAUCCCUAGCUGGUCUGAGAGGAUGACCAGCCACACUGGAACUGAGACACGGUCCAGACUCCUACGGGAGGCAGCAGUGGGGAAUAUUGCACAAUGGGCGCAAGCCUGAUGCAGCCAUGCCGCGUGUAUGAAGAAGGCCUUCGGGUUGUAAAGUACUUUCAGCGGGGAGGAAGGGAGUAAAGUUAAUACCUUUGCUCAUUGACGUUACCCGCAGAAGAAGCACCGGCUAACUCCGUGCCAGCAGCCGCGGUAAUACGGAGGGUGCAAGCGUUAAUCGGAAUUACUGGGCGUAAAGCGCACGCAGGCGGUUUGUUAAGUCAGAUGUGAAAUCCCCGGGCUCAACCUGGGAACUGCAUCUGAUACUGGCAAGCUUGAGUCUCGUAGAGGGGGGUAGAAUUCCAGGUGUAGCGGUGAAAUGCGUAGAGAUCUGGAGGAAUACCGGUGGCGAAGGCGGCCCCCUGGACGAAGACUGACGCUCAGGUGCGAAAGCGUGGGGAGCAAACAGGAUUAGAUACCCUGGUAGUCCACGCCGUAAACGAUGUCGACUUGGAGGUUGUGCCCUUGAGGCGUGGCUUCCGGAGCUAACGCGUUAAGUCGACCGCCUGGGGAGUACGGCCGCAAGGUUAAAACUCAAAUGAAUUGACGGGGGCCCGCACAAGCGGUGGAGCAUGUGGUUUAAUUCGAUGCAACGCGAAGAACCUUACCUGGUCUUGACAUCCACGGAAGUUUUCAGAGAUGAGAAUGUGCCUUCGGGAACCGUGAGACAGGUGCUGCAUGGCUGUCGUCAGCUCGUGUUGUGAAAUGUUGGGUUAAGUCCCGCAACGAGCGCAACCCUUAUCCUUUGUUGCCAGCGGUCCGGCCGGGAACUCAAAGGAGACUGCCAGUGAUAAACUGGAGGAAGGUGGGGAUGACGUCAAGUCAUCAUGGCCCUUACGACCAGGGCUACACACGUGCUACAAUGGCGCAUACAAAGAGAAGCGACCUCGCGAGAGCAAGCGGACCUCAUAAAGUGCGUCGUAGUCCGGAUUGGAGUCUGCAACUCGACUCCAUGAAGUCGGAAUCGCUAGUAAUCGUGGAUCAGAAUGCCACGGUGAAUACGUUCCCGGGCCUUGUACACACCGCCCGUCACACCAUGGGAGUGGGUUGCAAAAGAAGUAGGUAGCUUAACCUUCGGGAGGGCGCUUACCACUUUGUGAUUCAUGACUGGGGUGAAGUCGUAACAAGGUAACCGUAGGGGAACCUGCGGUUGGAUCACCUCCUUACCUUAAAGAAGC
rnacentral:rRNA from 1 species